rnacentral:lncRNA from 1 species
GAGGUAAUAUGAACUUCUUCAUGUACUUGUUUUUGCAAGUAAUGCUUCUAGCAGCUGCCUUAGAUGAGCGUACAUUCCUGUUUGAACUUGCUUUCCCAGAAAGAAGCAACUAAACUUUUAGCACAAAGAAGGACAAAAAAAAUGAGUUAAACAAUCUAGCGCUUUUGUUGCGAUUGAAAGCUAAAAUGAGCUGUUGAGCCACAAAGUAGAACUUCCAAAUCGAAGCUUCUACUUUUGUUGCAACCGGCAGCUGUUGGAGAGGAUGUCAAUGAAAAAGCUGUUAGUGCUUUCAAUAGCAUUGCUUAGCAGAACUUCUGCCAGAGCUAUGGCUCUAAGCAGAAUUUUGAAAUGAAUAAAUUAUUACAUUUCUCCAUGUAUGUAACCCUUUUAUCUUGAUACGAUGUAUGCUGAUAUACUUUUGGAUGUUUACCAGGUCGCCAUCUCCCCCGAAACCAAGGUCCAAGUCUCGGUCUAGGUCACCUAUCAAAUUCCGCCGAAGCAAGUCUCGGUCUAGAUCACCUAUUAAAUAUCGCCGAAGCAAGUCUCGGUCUAGGUCACCUAUUAAAUAUCGCCGAAGCAAGUCUCGGUCUAGGUCACCUAUUAAAUAUCGCCGAAGCCGGCGGUCCCGUUCUUUCUCCCCACCAGCUCGGUACUCCCGUGAUCAUAGGUCGCGGUCACCAAUAAGAUCUCACUAUUCGAGUCAGAGAACUGAAAGAUUAUACAGAGAUGAUCGCGACAGCCACAG